rnacentral:rRNA from 1 species
UGGGGAAUAUUGCACAAUGGGCGAAAGCCUGAUGCAGCAACGCCGCGUGAGUGAUGAAGGUCUUCGGAUUGUAAAGCUCUGUCUUUUGGGACGAUAAUGACGGUACCAAAGGAGGAAGCCACGGCUAACUACGUGCCAGCAGCCGCGGUAAUACGUAGGUGGCGAGCGUUGUCCGGAUUUACUGGGCGUAAAGGGUGCGUAGGCGGAUGUUUAAGUGAGAUGUGAAAUACCCGGGCUUAACUU